rnacentral:rRNA from 1 species
UACGGAGGAUGCGAGCGUUAUCCGGAUUUAUUGGGUUUAAAGGGUGCGUAGGCGGAAAGGUAAGUCAGUGGUGAAAUAUCCGCGCUCAACGUGGGGCGUGCCAUUGAUACUGUUUUUCUAGAGUUCCGUUGCCGUGGGAGGAAUGAGUAGUGUAGCGGUGAAAUGCAUAGAUAUUACUCAGAACACCGAUUGUGAAGACAUCUCACGAAGCGGCGACUGACGCUGAGGCACGAAAGCGUGGGGAU